AGGAUGAACGCUGGCGGCGUGCUUAAUACAUGCAAGUCGAACGGAUACCGCAAGGUAUUAGUGGCGACCGGGUGCGUAACACGUAGCUGACCUGCCCCUCAGCGGGGGACAACAGUUCGAAAGGACUGCUAAUACCGCAUGAUUUCGGUGAUUUUAGAAAGCAUCGAAUAAACUUACGGGGCUGAGGGAGGGAGCUGCGGCCCAUCAGGUAGUUGGUGAGGUAAUGGCUCACCAAGCCGACGACGGGUAGGGGGCCUGAGAGGGUGGUCUCCCACACUGGAACUGACAAACGGUCCAGACUCCUACGGGAGGCAGCAGUAAGGGAUAUUGCGCAAUGGGCGAAAGCCUGACGCAGCAACGCCGCGUGGAGGAAGAAGGCCUUCGGGUCGUAAACUCCUUUUGUGAGGGACGAGGAAGGACGGUACCUCACGAAUAAGUCACGGCUAACUACGCGCCAGCAGCCGC
rnacentral:rRNA from 1 species